GAAAAGAAACUAACCAGGAUUCCCCUAGUAACUGCGAGUGAAGAGGGAAAAGCUCAAAUUUAAAAUCUGGCGUCGCUGUCCGAGUUGUAAUUUAGAGAAGUGUUACCCGUGCUGGACCGUGUACAAGUCUCCUGGAACGGAGCGUCAUAGAGGGUGAGAAUCCCGUCUUUGACACGGACUCCCAGUGCAUUGUGGUACGCUCUCAAAGAGUCGUGUUGUUUGGGAAUGCAGCACUAAAUGGGUGGUAAAUUCCAUCUAAAGCUAAAUAUUGGCGAGAGAGACCGAUAGCAAACAAGUACCGUGAGGGAAAGAUGAAAAGAACUUUGGAAAGAGAGUUAAACAGUACGUGAAAUUGUUGAAAGGGAAACGCUUAAAGUCCAGUCGCGUUGGUUGGAAAUCAGUCUUGCUUCUGCUUGAUGUACUUUCUAACUGACGGGUCAGCAUCAGUUUUGACCGUUGGAUAAAGGUUGGAGGAAUGUGGCAUCUUCGGGUGUGUUAUAGCCUUCGAUUGUAUACAACGGUUGGGACUGAGGAACUCAGCACGCCGAAAGGCCGGGUCUUGUACACGUUCGUGCUUAGGAUGCUGGCAUAAUGGCUUUAAUCGACCCGUCUUGAAACACGGACCAAGGAGUCUAACAUGCCUGCGAGUAUUUGGGUGGAAAACCCGAGUGCGCAAUGAAAGUGAAAGUUGAGAACUCUUUAGAGUGCAUCGACGCCCGGACCAGACGUUUUCUGACGGAUCCGCGGUAGAGCAUGUAUGUUGGGACCCGAAAGAUGGUGAACUAUGCCUGAAUAGGGUGAAGCCAGAGGAAACUCUGGUGGAGGCUCGUAGCGAUUCUGACGUGCAAAUCGAUCGUCGAAUUUGGGUAUAGGGGCG
rnacentral:rRNA from 1 species